rnacentral:rRNA from 1 species
ACUUCGGUUCUAUUUCGUUGGUUUUCGGAUCCGAAGUAAUGAUCAAAAGAGACAGGCGGGGACGUUUGUAUGGUUGCGCUAGAGGUGAAAUUCAUGGACCGUAACCAGACAAACUAAAGCGAAAGCAUUCGUCAAGCAUGUUUUCAUUGGCCAUGAGCGAAAGUCAGAGGCUCGAAGACGAUCAGAUACCGUCCUAGUUCUGACCAUAAACGAUGCCAACUGACGAUCCGUGGUGGUAGUAUUUUAACCAUCCCCACGGGCAGUCCCCGGGAAACCUUUAAGUCUUUGGGUUCCGGGGGAAGUAUGGUUGCAAAGCUGAAACUUAAAGGAAUUGACGGAAGGGCACCACCAGGAGUGGAGCCUGCGGCUUAAUUUGACUCAACACGGGAAAACUCACCCGGCCCGGACACUGUGAGGAUUGACAGAUUGAUAGCUCUUUCUUGAUUUGGUGGUUGGUGGUGCAUGGCCGUUCUUAGUUGGUGGAGCGAUUUGUCUGGUUAAUUCCGAUAACGAACGAGACUCUAGCCUGCUAAUUAGUACGCCUGUCCUCUGUUCCUGUGCUGGCGGUGCUUCGGCGAAACUGCAUGCGUAAGCCUACUGCCAUGGGACGCGUUUUCUGCGUGUGCUGCGAGCUCCUCGUGGGCGAGUGGUGUGCGUGGGGGGCGUGAACUGUGGUUGGAGGUGUGUGCGGUGGGUACAGCGCUUGCCGCCGGGUACGGCGCAGGUGUGUCUACUUCUUAGAGGGACAAGCAUUACGAAUGUGUACGAAAUUGAGCAAUAA